rnacentral:rRNA from 1 species
GGACUACACGGGUUUCUAAUCCUGUUUGCUCCCCACGCUUUCGCGCCUUAGCGUCAGUAUCGAGCCAGAAAGCCGCCUUCGCCACUGGUGUUCUUACGAAUAUCUACGAAUUUCACCUCUACACUCGUAAUUCCACUUUCCUCUCUCGAUCUCUAGUUUCGCAGUAUCAAAUGCACCUCCCAGGUUAAGCCUGGGGCUUUCACAUCUGACUUACGAUACCGCCUACACGCCCUUUACGCCCAGUAAUUCCGAACAACGCUAGCUCCCCUCGUAUUACCGCGGCGGCUGGCAC